AGCAUUUCAUAUUUUGGCAAAUGAUCAUGUAAAGACAGUAUGGGGAUCAGUCUGCCGCAAAUCGGGACAAAUGACUAAGGGUCUUUAAAACAUUGAAUUAAUUUUUUAAGGCAUGGUUCACUGAAGUGACUCAGCUUCUGGUGUGAUGCUACUUUGCAGGGUGGAGGCAGGAGGAAAUCUUCCAUCCAGGUUCUGCUGCAAUGUGGUGCUGGACUGUUCACCAGGAGAGAGGGAGGUCCACAGUCUGACUGGUUGUCAGACAUGACACUGGCACAUCCAGUGAUGUUACCAGGACAAUUAAUCCAGUUGUUCAGGCCAUCCAGAUCACCAACUGCAUUUCCUGGACAGGACUUGCAGAGCAUCCCUGACUCGGGAACUAGCCCACUCUUAACCCGGAUGUGGGCUGUGGUCCAGAAGGAUGGGUGCGCCGGCCUCCAGGGUGUAUGGAACGCCCUUCCUGUCCCGGAGCCCAGGGGCCAAGGAGGGAGGCAGCGUUCUUCUCUCACAGCACAAGUUUGCAGAAGUCAGGGACCGACCCUGUGUAGCACAGAGGUCAGCAGGGUCCCUUGGGAGACGAGACCCAGAGAGGGGGAAUAACUCUCAAUCUAAGACAACACUGAUGGAUGCCACCAGGAAAGAGAAAGCUGGAGAGAGGGGUGGCUGGCCACUACAGGGCGACUGCAUCGCUGGAGGACAAGGGAAUGGGCUGUCCUGUUGCUCUCUCGGCCUUUGGAGUCCAAGGAGCUCUGCCUGAGGGCUGGAGCCUUCCCGGGAAAAUUGAGAUUUCAAUGAUUCACCUGCUUUUUCAAGCCAUUGAGAGCCGGAGACCUGGUCUCAAAAAAUUUUGUGUAAGUAAACAUCUUGGAAUUCCUGUUUCUGGCCGAUGGUCAGUCUCCUUCCUGCAAGCACUGAGUGACACUACUUCAAAAAAAAAAAAAAGAGGGAAGGAAUUAAAAAAAGAAAAAAAAAAAGGAAAGGCAUCUUGACACCUUGGAGCCUAUCUUGGGAGCCCCAUACCUGGUCAGAGAAACGGGAACUGCUCCUCACAGUAGUGAGGAAAGGGGGCCCUCCUGUGGGCCGGGCCUCUGCACGCGACCUCAUCCUCACGGGAAGGUUUUUUUCUCCUCGGUGGGGAUUCAGCCUGCUGCACUGAGAUUUGCACUCUUCGAGAGAAGUGUGUACAUGUGUGUACGUGUGUGCGUGUGUGUGCCCCGCUCAGCUGACUCUGCGGUGUGAGAAGGAAAGCGUGGGCGGGGGGCCUUGCUUGGGGUGCCCUCGCUGUCCUCCAUCUGCCCUGAUCUGCU